GGGCCCAUAGCUCAGUUGGUUAGAGCGUCCGACUCAUAAUCGGCCGGUCCCUGGUUCGAGUCCAGGUGGGCCCACCA
rnacentral:tRNA from 2 species